rnacentral:misc_RNA from 1 species
GCUGGUUGUUCCAAGAAGGAACUUCGAAAGGUGACACUAGGAUUUUGGCCAUCAAGAAUUGCAGUUCCACACAGAUACUACAGGCACUAACAGUAACUUUAAAACAACAUACAGAAUUGUAAACUGAUAUUACAGCUUACAUGGUUAUCACAUCCCCUGUCGAUGCAACGAUGUAAUUGACCACCCGGCAUCCGGCGCUAGAUUUGGUGCCUCGAUAUUGUUCUCUUAUCACUCAUUUAUGCUUCCGGUCUGUCCAUAGCAAGGCUAAAUAUAUAUAUCAUCAAUAAGCCUGACCAAACAUUUCCACAAUCGAAUUGGCAAUCAGCAUCAUCAGCUAAAUAGCGUCUGAAUCAUCCUUGUUAUAGGCCAAUGGGAACUCAUCAAACUGCUCCGUGACAUCGCAGCCCUCUCCGAUGCUCUUCAGAGCGUGGAAAACCCGAUACAUUGAAUGCCUCUCCGUCACACGGGGCUGGGUGCAAGCAAAAGCUAUCUUCAAGAACUCCUGAAUCUCUGCCUCAUGGCCCUUUCCACGCAAUGGUUUAUCAAUAGCAUCACUGAUUCGACCAGAAGCCUUGAGCUGGUUAACCCAGUCCACCAAUGUCCCCUUGAAUCCUUCACCCGUCACGUCAGUAACCACAGCAGCAGCCUCCUGCCCGCUAACAAGCUCAAACAAUAUCACCCCAAAUGCAUACGCAUCGCCUUUCAUCGUACCAACUGGAUUGCUAGCAUACUCUGGAGCAACAUAGCCAAACUCCCCAAAGUCCCCGUUCAGGAAAGGACUGGUAUCACCACCCUCGCCAGGCGCCAUCCGGACCAACCUUGUGAGCCCAACAUCCGUGAUCCGAGCAUCAUAAUCCUCGUCGAGAAGCACUGCACUCGAGCUCAAAUUCUGGUGAAUCUGCGGAACCUGGAACCCAUGGUGCAGCCACGCAAGCCCCCUUGCUGCCCCCACGGCGAUCCUAAGUCGCGUUGCCCAAUCCAGCGGCGCUUCCCCUGGCUUCUUCAUCACCGAUGAAAGAGCCCCACUCUCCAUAUGCUUAUACACCAGCAGCCUCUCGUCCUCGACAACACAGAAGCCCAGCAGUGGCACGAUGUUAGGAUGCCGCAGCUGCCCCAUCCGACCCAUCUCUGCCCUGAACGCCUUCUCCGAAAGUGGGCACGAGUGCAGGCGCUUGACCGUCAGUGCAGACCCGUCCCGUAGCACAGCUCGGUAAGCUGUCCCCGCCCGCGAGCUCCCGGCGACCACGAUGUGGCUAGUGCUGAAGUCAUGGGUGGCGGCCAUCAGGUCAGCGAGCUUGACCUUCACGAUGGGCUUCUGGAACAGCGAGACCGGGACCAGGCGGUUGUGCGCCGCCCGCAGCCUCUCGGUCCACCAGCUCCCGUCUUCCCCACCGCCCGACUCGCUGGUGCCGCGCCUGUGGCGGCGGCGGCCUCCUUUGCCCUUCCCGGUGCACCGCCAGAAGAAGUAGGCGAGGAGCAACGAGGCGGCGGCGCCGAAGACUCCCGCGGCUAUGACGAUGCCAAGGCCGGUGCUCCCCAGCCCGCGGCCGCAGCGAGAGGAUACGGGGCGGCCGCAGAGGCCCGAGUUCCCGGAGAAGGAGUCCAUGGGGAAGUUGUCGCCGAGCUGGGACGGGAUCUGGCCGUCGAGCUUGUUCCCCGAGAGGUCGAGCGACUUGAGUCGGUCGAGCCGCGCGAGGGAGGCGGGGAUCUGGCCGGAGAGCUGGUUCCCGGAGAGCCUGAGCGAGUUGAGGAAGCGGCAGUUGGCGAGCUCGGCGGGAAUUGGGCCAUUGAGCUGGUUGGAGGAGAGGUCGAGGGUGACGAGGAAGGGGAGCCAGUCGCAGAGGGCUGGCAGGAUUGUGCCGACGAGCGCGUUGCUGGAGAGGUCGAGCGUGGUGGCGGCGCGGCAGUACUGGAGCGAGGAGGGGAUGGAGCCGACGAGGCCGAACCCGGAGAGCGAGAGCGAGAGGACGCGGGACUCCUGCAGGUUCCAGCAGCCGAUGCCGUUGUAAUUGCAGACAGCGCCGCCCGAGGUGUUCUUGAAGUCCCAGUCUGCGAGACGCUCGUUGGGGUCGGCGAGGUCGUGCUUAACGCCUCGGAGGCAGCGCAGGUCGUCCUCCUGCGGCGCCGCCGCCGAUCCCGGCGCGGGCUGCGGCGCCGCCAAAGGGGCGACGAGGAAGAGGAGGAAGAUCGGGGGCAGGAGGAUGGGAGGAGGCAUGGUGGACGGAUGCACGCGGAUUGGGGACGGGGUACGGUGGGGGUGGGGUGGGGGUGGGCCGGUGGGGGGAGCGGUUUGACCAGUUG